GGGGAACCUGCGGAAGGAUCUUUG
rnacentral:rRNA from 1 species